UACACCUUCAUCUCUUACCUUCCCUGGAAUAGUAGUAAUGUACUGGCAAUUAGGGUUCUAUGGCCCAAUAGGUAUUACCCCCUGUUUUUCUGCUUUACGCUUCGGUUAGUGGUCCCGCGAGGCCAACACCCCGCCUCACACUCGGAGGCAUACACCCCUCGGGCCACUCGUGAGCUAGCUGCCUCGCAUUGUAUCAUAGAGAGGGCCUCACCUGUCA